UCCUACGGGAGGCAGCAGUGGGGAAUUUUCCGCAAUGGGCGAAAGCCUGACGGAGCAACGCCGCGUGAGGGAUGAAGGCCUCUGGGCUGUAAACCUCUUUUAUCAAGGAAGAAGAUCUGACGGUACUUGAUGAAUAAGCCACGGCUAAUUCCGUGCCAGCAGCCGCGGUAAUACGGGAGUGGCAAGCGUUAUCCGGAAUUAUUGGGCGUAAAGCGUCCGCAGGCGGUCCAGAAAGUCUGCUGUUAAAAAGUGGAGCUUAACUCCAUCAUGGCAGUGGAAACUUCUGGACUAGAGUGUGGUAGGGGCAGAGGGAAUUCCCGGUGUAGCGGUGAAAUGCGUAGAUAUCGGGAAGAACACCAGUGGCGAAGGCGCUCUGCUGGGCCAUAACUGACGCUCAUGGACGAAAGCCAGGGGAGCGAAAGGGAUUAGAUACCCCUGUAGUCCUGGCCGUAAACGAUGAACACUAGGUGUCGGGGGAAUCGACCCCUCCGGUGUCGUAGCCAACGCGUUAAGUGUUCCGCCUGGGGAGUACGCACGCAAGUGUGAAACUCAAAGGAAUUGACGGGGA
rnacentral:rRNA from 1 species